rnacentral:rRNA from 16 species
AAUGGAACAAUGUAGGCAAGGGAAGUCGGCAAAACGGAUCCAUAACUUCAGGUAAAGGAUUGGCUCUAAGGAUUGGGCUCGGGAGUCUCGGCGCCGAACCCGUCGGCUGUCGGCGGAUUGCUCAAGCUGCUCACACGGCUAGAGCGGGUUGUCGUGUGCCGUCUGGGGGACGGACCGCGAAUCGCCCCUUCGAGGGCUUUACCAGAUCAUGAAACAGUCGACUCAGAACUGGUACAGACAAGGGGAAUCUGUAUGUUUAAUUAAAAGAAAGCAUUGCGAUGGUCCUCGCGGAUGCUGACGCAAUGUGAUUUCGGACCAGUGCUCUGAAUGUCAAAGUGAAGAAAUUCAACCAAGCACGGGUAAACGGCGGGAGUAACUAUGACUCUUAAGGUAGCCAAAUACCUCGUUAUCUAAUUAAUGACGCGAAUGAAUGAAUUAACGAGAUUCCCACUAUCCCUGUCUACUAUCCAGCAAAACCAUUGCCAAGGGAACGUGCUUGGCGGAAUCAGCGGGGAAAGAAGACCCUGUUGAGAUUGACUCUAGUCCGACUUUGUGAAUUGACUUGAGAGGUGAAGGAUAGGUGGGGAGUUUAGCUGGGGCGGCACAUUUGUUAAAAGAGAACGCAGGUGUCCUGAGAUGAGCUCAACGAGAACAGAAAUAUCGUGUGGAAAAAAGGGUAAAAGGUCGUUUGAUUCUGAUUUCCAAUAUGAAUACGACCCGUGAAAGCGUGGCCUAUCGAUCCUUUAGAUCUUCGAAGUUUAAAGCUAGAGGUGUCAGAAAGGUUACCACACGGAUAACUGGCUUGUGGCAGCCAAGUGUUCAUAGCGAGGUUUCUUUUUGAUUCUUCGAUGUGAGCUCUUCCUAUCAUUGUGAAGCAGAAUUCACCAAGUGUUGGAUUGUUCACCCAACAAUAGGGAACGUGAGCUGGGUUUAGACCGUCGUGAGACAUGUUAGUUUUACCCUACUGAUGACAGUGUCGCGAUAGUAAUUCAACCUAGUACGAGAGGAACCGUUGAUUCACACAAUUGGUUAUCGCGCUUGGUUGAAAAGCCAGUGGCGCGAAGCUACCGUGUGCCGGAUUAUGACUGAACGCCUCUAAAUCAGAAUUCAAGCUAGCAUAGGACGCAUGCGCCCGCCGCUCGCCCUGAACCACGUUAGGGGCGCUUGCGCCCCCAAGGGCCCGUGCCAUUGGCUAAGCCGGUCCGGCCGACGUGUCGUGAUCAGCCGCCUCGAAGCUUCCUUCCCAACGGGCUGAAUCCUUUGCAGAUGACUUAAAUACGCGACGGGGCAUUGUAAGUGGCAGAGUGGCCUUGCUGGCACUAUCCACUAAGAUCUAGCCCCAUGUCGCACGGAUUC